UGAAUAUUUAAAAUAUGGCUAGUGUGACUGGGAGCUGAAGUUUCCAUUUUAUUUAGACUUAACUAGCUCAAAUUUAAAUAGCCACAUGUAACUUAUGGCUUGGUAUUGGACAGCAUAGAACAUCUAUAGAAAAUCAAAAGCAGUGGGUAAAAAAUGAGGAAUCAGAAGAAGAUAGGGUCUCAUUCUGUUGGUUGCCUGGGGACUAUAUAAUUCAGCUCUGA
rnacentral:lncRNA from 1 species